AUUGAACGCUGGCGGCAUGCUUUACACAUGCAAGUCGAACGGUAACAGGCCGCAAGGUGCUGACGAGUGGCGAACGGGUGAGUAAUGCAUCGGAACGUGCCCAGUCGUGGGGGAUAACGCAGCGAAAGCUGUGCUAAUACCGCAUACGAUCUAUGGAUGAAAGCGGGGGACCGUAAGGCCUCGCGCAAUUGGAGCGGCCGAUGUCAGAUUAGGUAGUUGGUGGGGUAAAGGCCUACCAAGCCGACGAUCUGUAGCUGGUCUGAGAGGACGACCAGCCACACUGGGGCUGAGACACGGCCCAGACUCCUACGGGAGGCAGCAGUGGGGAAUUUUGGACAAUGGCGCAAGCCUGAUCCAGCAAUGCCGCGUGCAGGAAGAAGGCCUUCGGGUUGUAUACUGCUUUUGUACGGAACGAAACGGUCUGGGUUAAUACCCUGGGCUAAUGACGGUACCGUAAGAAUAAGCACCGGCUAACUACGUGCCAGCCGCCGCCGUAA
rnacentral:rRNA from 1 species